CGUGUAGGAAGAAGGCCUUCGGGUCGUAAACUACUGUCAGGAGGGAAGAAACUGUUAGGGUAUAAUACGCCCUUUCACUGACGGUACCUCCAGAGGAAGCACCGGCUAACUCCGUGCCAGCAGCCGCGGUAAUACGGAGGGUGCGAGCGUUAAUCGGAAUCACUGGGCGUAAAGCGUACGUAGGCGGCGCAACAAGUCAGACGUGAAAGCCCUCGGCUCAACCGAGGAAUUGCGUUUGAAACUGUUGUGCUAGAGUCUCGGAGAGGUUGGCGGAAUUCCAGGUGUAGGAGUGAAAUCCGUAGAUAUCUGGAGGAACACCGGUGGCGAAGGCGGCCAACUGGACGAGUACUGACGCUGAGGUACGAAAGCGUGGGGAGCAAACAGGAUUAGAUACCCUGGUAGUCCACGCCGUAAACGAUGGAUAUUAGGUGUCGGGGUUAACACUUCGGUGCCGCAGUUAACGCGUUAA
rnacentral:rRNA from 1 species